rnacentral:rRNA from 1 species
GACGAACGCUGGCGGCGUGCCUAAUACAUGCAAGUCGAACGCAGUUACGAACGGGUGAGUAACGCGGAGUUACCUGCCGCAUAGCGGGGGAUAACUAUUGGAAACGAUAGCUAAUACCGCAUACUGUGAGUUGGACCUGCGUUGUAUUAGCUAGUUGGUGAGGUAAAUGCUCACCAAGGCGACGAUACAUAGCCGAACUGAGAGGGUGAUCGGCCAAACCGGGAACGGGACAAGUCCCAGGCCGCCUCGGGGGGCAGCAGGAGGGAAUCUUCGGGAAUUGACGGAAGGCUGAACGAGCAAAGCCGCGUGGUUGAAGAAGGGUUUCGGAUCGUUAAGCCCUUUUGUUAGAGAAGCGGUAACUAACCAGAAAGGGACGGCUAACUACGUGCCAGCCGCCGCGGUAAUUC